CUGGUUGAUCCUGCCAGACCCGACUGCUAUCGGAUUGGGACUAAGCCAUGCGAGUCAACUCCGCAAGGGGUGGCGCACGGCUCAGUAACACGUAGUCAACCUACCCUGGGGACGGGGAUAACCUCGGGAAACUGAGGCUAAACCCCGAUGGGCCAUGGCUCCUGGAAUGGGCUAUGGCUGAAAUCUACAUGGCCCCAGGAUGGGACUGCGGCCGAUCAGGUUGUUGGUGGGGUAAUGGCCCACCAAGCCUAUAACCGGUGCGGGCUCUGAGAGGAGGAGCCCGGAGAUGGGCACUGAGACAAGGGCCCAGGUCCUAUGGGGCGCAGCAGGCGCGAAACCUCCGCAAUGGGCGAAAGCCCGACGGGGUCAGUCCGAGUGGUUCCCGCUGAGGGAACCGUUUGCCAGCUGUAAACAGGCUGGCGAAUAAGGGGUGGGCAAGUUUGGUGUCAGCCGCCGCGGUAAUACCAGCACCCCGAGUGGUCGGGACGAUUAUUGGGCCUAAAGCAUCCGUAGCCGGCCCAGUAAGUCCUCCGUUAAAUCCAACGGCUCAACCGUUGGGCUGCGGGGGAUACUGCUGGGCUAGGGGACGGGAGAGGCGAGGGGUAUUCCCGGGGUAGGGGUAAAAUCCACUGAUCCCGGGAGGACCACCAGUGGCGAAGGCGCCUCGCUAGAACGUGCCCGACGGUGAGGGAUGUAAGCUGGGGGAGCGAACCGGAUUAGAUACCCGGGUAGUCCCAGCCGUAAACGAUGUAGGCUCGGUGUUGGGCUGCCUCAGUGGCAGCCCAGUGCCGCAGGGAAGCCGUUAAGCCUACCGCCUGGGGAGUACGGCCGCAAGGCUGAAACUUAAAGGAAUUGGCGGGGGAGCACCAC
rnacentral:rRNA from 1 species